UGUCACUGAUGCAACACCUGACUUGGCAACAUCUGGUAAACUUAUCAGCAAACUCAGCAAGGAGGCUUAUGGCUGAGCAAAUACAAAGAUAGUUCAUUUUCACACACACAGAGGGAGUUUGGGGCAUAUCAGCAAGAAAGUACAAAAAACAGACUUUGCUUCAGAGGUGGCAGUGGUGGGGGAGAGCGGUCAAGCCUGUUAUUGCCAAAACACAGGACUUCAAGCCAGAGCUCAAUGAAAACAAACAGGCUGCUGGAGAAGAAGGUGAAAAGUGAAUCAAAGUUCUGCUGCCUCAGGGAAAAUAAUUUCACCAUUUGUGUCAUCUAAGCUUCUCCUCAGGACAGCACUAAGGCAGCUCAAUUUUGCAAAGCUCAGCAGCAAAAUUGCAACCAAACAUAGUUCACGUAAGGGGAGAAUUACCUCAGAGGCAUUAAGAGAGAGCAAAAGCUUGCAUCAGCUUUUGCACGGGCACAGCAGCUGACAUAUGGCACAAUGCAACAAGCAACCAAACCCAGAGCUAUUUGGCAGUGACCUACGCAUCUGCUGGAGUAAGAACCAAAGCCUUAGGGCACAGUUGAAACCAAGCUAGGCUGAAUGAGAAAAAGCAACUUCCCCGUUCUUUCUUACAGUGCAUCUAUGUGCAGCACAGCUAAUUGCAGCGCGUUAGGAAUGGGGCCAUACCUAUUACAACAUGUUAUAAAAAAUAACUCUAAAAUUA